UACGUGGGGGGUAAGCGUUGUUCGGAAUUACUGGGCGUAAAGGGCUCGUAGGCGGCCAACUAAGUCGGACGUGAAAUCCCUCAGCUUAACUGGGGAACUGCGUCCGAUACUGGAUGGCUUGGAUUUGGGAGAGGGAUGCGGAAUUCCAGGUGUAGCGGUGAAGUGCGUAGAUAUCUGGAGGAACACCAGUGGCGAAGGCGGCAUCCUGGACCGGCAUUGACGCUGAGGCGCGAAAGCUAGGGUAGCAAACGGG
rnacentral:rRNA from 1 species